rnacentral:rRNA from 1 species
UCAGAACGAACGCUGGCGGCGCGUCUUAAGCAUGCAAGUCGAACGGCAAGAGGUAGCAAUACCUCCUAGAGUGGCGGACUGGUGAGUAACACGUGGGUGGCAUACCCUCAGAUGGGGAUAGCUAUUAGAAAUAGUAGAUAAUACCGAAUACGAGCACAGGGGUUAGAGAUCUGUGAGGAAAGGAGCUAAGGCUCCGCUGAAGGAAUGGCCUGCGGCCCAUUAGCUAGUUGGUGAGGUAAGAGCCCACCAAGGCGAUGAUGGGUAUCCGGCCUUAGAGGGUGAACGGACACAUUGGGACUGAGAUACGGCCCAGACUCCUACGGGAGGCAGCAGCUAAGAAUAUUCCGCAAUGGACGAAAGUCUGACGGAGCGACGCCGCGUGGAUGAAGAAGGCCGGAAGGUUGUAAAAUCCUUUUGAAACUGAAGAAUAAGCGUUGUAGGGAAUGACAGCGUGGUGACAGUAGGUUUUGAAUAAGCAACGGCUAAUUACGUGCCAGCCGCAGC